rnacentral:rRNA from 1 species
UAUAUUUAGUAGCAAAUGGGUGAGUAACACGUACCUAACCUACCUUUUGGACUGGGAUAACCAUUGGAAACAGCGGCUAAUACCGGAUAUAAUAAAAAAAUGCAUGUUUUUUUAUUAAAAGAAGCCUUUAAAGCUUCACCAAAAAAUGGGGGUGCGCAACAUUAGUUAGUUGGUAGGGUAAAGGCCUACCAAGACGAUGAUGUUUAGCGGGGCCAAGAGGCUGUACCGCCACACUGGGAUUGAGAUACGGCCCAGACUCCUACGGGAGGCAGCAGUAAGGAAUAUUCCACAAUGAGCGAAAGCUUGAUGGAGCGACACAGAGUGUGUUACUCACCCAUUUGCUACUAAAUAUA